AUAAAGAUAAGCUAAAUUAAGCUACUGGGCUCAUACCCCGUUGAUAGGUUCUCCCUUCUUUUUA
rnacentral:tRNA from 1 species